GACGAACGCUGGCGGCGUGCUUAACACAUGCAAGUCGAACGGAAAGGCCCUGCCUUUGUGGGGUGCUCGAGUGGCGAACGGGUGAGUAACACGUGAGUAACCUGCCCUUGACUUUGGGAUAACUUUAGGAAACUGGGGCUAAUACCGGAUAGGAGCUCCUGCUGCAUGGUGGGGUUUGGAAAGUUUCGGCGGUUGGGGAUGGACUCGCGGCUUAUCAGCUUGUUGGUGGGGUAGUGGCUUACCAAGGCUUUGACGGGUAGCCGGCCUGAGAGGGUGACCGGCCACAUUGGGACUGAGAUACGGCCCAGACUCCUACGGGAGGCAGCAGUGGGGAAUAUUGCACAAUGGGCGGAAGCCUGAUGCAGCGACGCCGCGUGCGGGAUGACGGCCUUCGGGUUGUAAACCGCUUUCGCCUGUGACGAAGCGUGAGUGACGGUAAUGGGUAAAGAAGCACCGGCUAACUACGUG
rnacentral:rRNA from 1 species